GCAUGAGAACCAGUGAAAGAGACUUCACCCCUCCCCAAAACAAACCAAGCCUAUUACUUAAUUCUCUCCACCUUCAAUUCCUCCUACCACAUCUAAUGGUGCAGUGUUUUUAGUGCAGCUCUGGGCUCCUUCCGCCUUCUCCCCAUGGGCUGGCUUCAGUCCCUCUUCUCCCCUCUCAAGAGGCUCUGGUUUCGCCUCCACUCUGCUCACAGAAAGAAGAGAGGGAUUUACAUCCUCUACGAGGAUGUGAAGUCGUGCCAAUGCGAGGACGUGCAGGUUCUGUGGUCGAUCCUCGUGGAGUCGCAAUCUCCUCGUCUGCAUUUGAAGCGUUGAGGCGACUCCAGUUGAUCUAUCCAUGGAGGAAAACUAGAGUAAGGUGAAGUUUUUUUUGAACUUUUCGUGUAUAAAAAAACUUUGUAAUGGUGAGAGCGAGAGGAGCGGCUCCUCUAGCUCUAAUUCUUGCUUGCAGAAGCAAGAAUGAAAAAGAGAAGAAAAAAAAAACACUUUGUAAUUACACAGAAUCAAGAAAAGUAUUUAUACAAUAACAAUAAAAUUACAUGAGAACAGGGUGCAGUAGAAGGUCGAUUUCCUUGUUUCUUGAUAGGUGUCGAGUCCAUUAUGGUUAGUUGUGGGGUAGCAGAGAUUUCCUUUUCAUUGAGCUUCUGUGGCUGCUUGAUGUUAGUGAAUAAAAAACAAUGUUGUGUGUUAUGUAUUGGGAAAGAAGCCUGGUGUAUGAGUGCUUCUCUAAAUGGUUGUUUAAGAAAAUUGCACGCUUUUGUUUA